rnacentral:rRNA from 1 species
AUUGAACGCUGGCGGCAUGCCUUACACAUGCAAGUCGAACGGUAACAGGUCUUCGGAUGCUGACGAGUGGCGACCGGGUGCGUAAUACAUCGGAACGUGCCCGAUCGUGGGGGAUAACGAGGCGAAAGCUUUGCUAAUACCGCAUACGAUCUACGGCUGACAGCGGGGGAUCUUCGGACCUCGCGCGGACGGAGCGGCCGAUGGCAGAUUAGGUAGUUGGUGGGAUAAAAGCUUACCAAGCCGACGAUCUGUAGCUGGCCUGAGAGGAUGAUCAGCCACACUGGGACUGAGACACGGCCCAGACUCCUACGGGAGGCAGCAGUGGGGAAUUUUGGACAAUGGGCGAAAGCCUGAUCCAGCCAUGCCGCGUGCAGGAUGAAGGCCUUCGGGUUGUAAACUGCUUUUGUACGGAACGAAAAGCCUCUUGCUAAUAAAGAGGGGUCAUGACGGUACCGUAAGAAUAAGCACCGGCUAACUACGUG